rnacentral:rRNA from 1 species
AUUGAACGCUGGCGGCAUGCUUUACACAUGCAAGUCGAACGGUAACAGGGAGCUUGCUCCGCUGACGAGUGGCGAACGGGUGAGUAAUGCAUCGGAACGUGCCUAUUUGUGGGGGAUAACGUAGCGAAAGUUACGCUAAUACCGCAUACGCCCUGAGGGGGAAAGCGGGGGAUUCGUAAGAACCUCGCGCAAUUAGAGCGGCCGAUGUCGGAUUAGCUAGUUGGUGGGGUAAAGGCUCACCAAGGCGACGAUCCGUAGCGGGUCUGAGAGGAUGAUCCGCCACACUGGGACUGAGACACGGCCCAGACUCCUACGGGAGGCAGCAGUGGGGAAUUUUGGACAAUGGCGAAAGCCUGAUCCAGCCAUGCCGCGUGAGUGAAGAAGGCCU